rnacentral:rRNA from 1 species
AGCGAACGCUGGCGGCAGGCCUAACACAUGCAAGUCGAACGAAGUCUUCGGACUUAGUGGCGGACGGGUGAGUAACACGUGGGAACGUACCUUUUGGUUCGGAACAACUCAGGGAAACUUGAGCUAAUACCGGAUGAGCCCUUAGGGGGAAAGAUUUAUCGCCGAAAGAGCGGCCCGCGUUAGAUUAGCUAGUUGGUGAGGUAAAGGCUCACCAAGGCUACGAUCUAUAGCUGGUCUGAGAGGAUGAUCAGCCACACUGGGACUGAGACACGGCCCAGACUCCUACGGGAGGCAGCAGUGGGGAAUCUUGCGCAAUGGGCGAAAGCCUGACGCAGCCAUGCCGCGUGAAUGAUGAAGGUCUUAGGAUUGUAAAAUACUUUCACCGGGGAAGGUAAUGACGGUACCCGGAGAAGAAGCCCCGGCUAACUUCGUGCCAGCCGCCGCUGUAAAAC